rnacentral:lncRNA from 1 species
UCCUACUAAAAUGCAUACUUAAACAUACAGGCACACACCUCAAAACAAACACAUCCCAGUUAAUUCCAAUUCCCACCUCAAUCAAAUAGCUAUUUAUUCCAAUUUCGAUUCUCAAAACUUUUAUUUCACAUAUUUGACCGUAAAAAUAUAGCCUAGAUUUCUUCAAAGUAAGUUACGUCAUAUACAAACACAAAAAAUUAAAAGUAAAGUAAAAUUGAGUUUCAGUACUUACCCUCUACAAAUUUGUUGAACGGCAGAAUGGAUGGCGGAUUGCACCAGUGGACGGCUAAGUGCAGCGGCAGUGGCGGCGAUUUGGAAGAGGGAGGAAGAGCGAGAGAAGAGGGACUUGGGUGGUGGCUCGGCUUUGUCUCAAUAGUUGUU